rnacentral:misc_RNA from 1 species
AACGCAUAUUGCGCCCGGUAGUACUCUACCGGGCAUGCCUGUCCGAGCGUCAUUUCAACCCUCGGGACCCGUUUCGGCGGGACCCGGCGUUGGGGAUCGGCCGUCCUUGCGGCGCGCCGGCCCCGAAAUACAGUGGCGGUCUCGUUGUGACUCCCCUGCGUAGUAGUAACAUCUCGCAUGCGGAUAGCGACGUGGCCACGCCGUAAAACCCCCAACUUUAUCAAGGUUGACCUCGGAUCAGGUAGGAAUACCCGCUGAACUUAA